UGUAUCUUGUUUGUCCUGCAACAAGCUGAUGGAUUAUCCAGUAACAUGCUCUCGGUCGUCAACGAAGCAGCAUUUUUCGGUCCACAGUAGAAAGUUUGUGUGGACCUGCGUGUCCUUCCUGGA
rnacentral:ribozyme from 1 species